AGCAAAUGGACAUGUAAGCAACUGGGCCAUUUGAGCUCCAAUGCUCCGGAGAAGCAAAUAUCAAUAGAGCCAUUUGUAGAUGUGAAGUUGAGGCCUGGAGAAAUUAAAUAGUUUGUCUAAGUUUACAAAGUUAGGGAGAGGCUGAGCCAGUAUUUCCUUCUAGAUUUGAUUGACCCCAAAGCCCAAGCUCUUCACCACUUUGGAAUUCCACUUGAACAGGAUGCACUUGAUCUCACAGGCAUUGCCUUAAGUUGCCUUAACUUGAUGCAAGAACCCGAUGCAAGAAGCGUAUUUAAAGCCUCCAUGAAAAUAAGCAGAGGCUCACAGGCCCAGGCCCAAGAACUCACCCCAGGUCACAAGCCUAAUUGGUGCUGCCCCAUACACGGUCACAUGAUGUCAGUCCCUGAGCAAGAGGAGAAUGUCACUGGGACUAGAGCGGGAGAGGUACCACGGGAGCCAUUUCUCAGCCAGCAGCAAUGGAUGCUUAAGGAAGAAGCAGAGGUCCUCAGAGCAGAAAUCGAGGCGAGCUGUUCCAGUCAUUAUAAUUUUACCCAAGCCAUCAGGAUAAGGAUGCUUUCCCCUCCUCCAUCUAUGCAACCCCAGGACCCACUCCUUGAAGGGGUCUUGGCUGAUUCCGCAGCCCUCCUUGACCUGUGGAACUCACUGGCCAUAAGAUCAUUGUCUCUAAACGAGCCCUAGGAAUCACUUUGAGGGGAAAACCCAGACCAGCCCAAAGAUGGGUAGAAUUUAGAUUAGAGUCCACAGCCUGCAAAUCCUUGUGUCUUUUGUCCUUGACCUUCACUCCUUGAUUC
rnacentral:lncRNA from 1 species